rnacentral:rRNA from 1 species
AAUUAUUUAUAGCCUCUGGCUAUAGGAAAUUGUUAGUGACAGACGGGUGAGUAAUGCGUAGGAAUCUACCUAGUAGUACGGAAUAGCCAUUAGAAAUGGUGGGUAAUACUGUAUAAUCCCCGAGGGGGAAAGAUUUAUCGCUAUUAGAUGAGCCUACGUUAGAUUAGCUAGUUGGUGAGGUAAUGGCUUACCAAGGCUAUGAUCUAUAGCUGGUCUGAGAGGACGAUCAGCCACACUGGAACUGAGAUACGGUCCAGACUCCUACGGGAGGCAGCAGUGGGGAAUACUGGACAAUGGGCGAAAGCCUGAUCCAGCUAUGCCGCGUGA